UUACCAGAUUCUGUGUUAUUCAGAAUUGAGAUGCCUGUGAGUGACACACACGUGACCAAGGCUCUACAAGGAAGUGGCCUCAUAUGCAGGAAAUCACAGAGUUCUAGUGACACAUCUAAUUAAUCACCUCAAGUUCUUCUUGUCACAACUGUUUACAUUCUUCUCUGACUGUUGGACUCCAUUUCUCCACAAAGUCUUUUAUUCUACAUCUUCAGGUACUACAUUAGUUACUUGGGUUUAAUUCUGGAGUAGAAGAGAAAAAUAUGGACUAGACCUUUAUUGGGAAAAUUAACCACCUAUGUAAGGCUUUUUAACUACAAGUUUGUUCAGGGCAUAUACACAGAGCAAAGGGAUAAAUACCCAGUGGCUGGGCUGAGGCAGAGGUUAUCAGCAAUACCUUUCCAUACGGUUGUCAUCAAAUCAUACAGAUCUGCCCUAAAAUAUACCUGGCAGUAUAUGUGUUUUGCAAAUAUUUCUUGAAAAUAUGACAUUGAACUCCAGGCUUCCCAAACUCAGUUUUAGAGAACUAAUGAUAGCAGUCCAUAUCUACUAGACCAAGGACUGGUAAACUUUUUCUGUAAACAGCCAGAUAGUAAAUAUUUUAGGGCCAGUCUCUGUUGCAACUGCCCAACUCUGCUCAACUCUUGAAAACAGCCACAGACAAUAUGUAAACAAAUGGACGUGGCUCUGCUCUAGGAAUUUUUCCUUCUGAAAAUGGGUGGUGGGCCUUCAUUUGUGAGCACCUGUACUAGAUGUCCAAAUUUUAUAUCUGAAUUAAGCCAAACCAUUAAGGGGUUUGUACCAAAGGGCAUUUCUUUGAAAUCGGGUUUACUGAAUUUUGCUUUGAUAUUAUAUGCUCCGCUUGCCCUGAGGGACAUUGUAAGAAGCAAUUGUCUGGCUGGAUAUCAUGUUCCUUGUUCUUGAUUAUAGGGAGUCUACCAUAGGAUGCAGUGCCUCCUUUAGGGUGCUCUGCAGGAGAAAAGCAGUGACUCCCCUGAGACCCUGGAAGUUCCUACCUCUGGGCAAGAAUAAGCAUGCUAAUUCAAUCAAGUAUAUUGAGCACCUUAUGAGCAUCUGCAGUGACUCUAAGGCUGUGGUGUUCAAAAUCAGUGAAGGUGCUGACUCUCAAAGAGGAGGAAGGCUCAUUUAUAUCACUUUGGUGGAGCAGACUUGGUAGAAAAAUGUUCUCUCACAGAAGCAGAGAAAUUAUAUGUGGAUGGCUUUAGCUUUCUUGCAAGAAAAAUAUGAAUGGGUAUGCAUUAGAAGACAUGCAAGUGGAAUUUGGAGACAAACUUGUGAAUGUAGACUGAAUACUACCUGAAUUACUUUCCUUUGUUUGGAAAGAAAAUCAUGACAACUAAGACGGAGAAUAGAAGAGGAAAGAGAAUGUACAAGCAAUGUAAAAGUAGGUACAGUUUUGAAUGGAGAACCAUCAUUGUAGUAAAACAAAGUGACUUCACUGAGUUCAUUCCCUUUCUGAAAAUCAGCUUCUAUUUCCUAUGUAAUUAUUAAAAAUGAAAAAAGAAAGAACAAGAAAGGGAAAAAAGUUUAGGUGUUGACCAAAGAUGUCAACUCAACCACCAAACAGACACCCUUCUUGGCCUAGAUUGUGGUAAAUAAAUGGCUAGUUUGAUGAAUAGUUUUGAGUUCA
ensembl:lncRNA